rnacentral:snRNA from 1 species
GGAUGUGAGAGUGAUCUGGCUGGCUAGGCGGGUGUCCCCUUUUUCCCUCACUGCUCCAUGUGCGUCCCUCCCGAAGCUGUGCACCUGGUCAAAGAGCCUGACCAUGCUGGAUGGAGCAGCACCAUUUCCUCCCUCAAGGGUAUAUGAGUAGCUGCGCUCCCCUGCUAGAACCUCCAAACAAGCUCUCGGAUACAUCUCAUUUUUUGUUUGUACUAAGUCUUGGAAAUCCAACGUGUGUGUGUGUGUUUUU